GGGGAAUAUUGCACAAUGGAGGGAACUCUGAUGCAGCAACGCCGCGUGAAGGAAGAAGGUCUUCGGAUUGUAAACUUCUUUGAUGAGGGACGAAUAAUGACGGUACCUCAAGAACAAGCCACGGCUAACUACGUGCCAGCAGCCGCGGUAAUACGUAGGUGGCGAGCGUUGUCCGGAAUUACUGGGUGUAAAGGGCGCGUAGGCGGGGACAUAAGUCAGAUGUGAAAUACCAUGGCUCAACUGUGGGGGUGCAUCUGAAACUAUGUUUCUUGAGUGCUGGAGAGGAAAGCGGAAUUCCUAGUGUAGCGGUGAAAUGCGUAGAUAUUAGGAGGGACACCAGUGGCGAAGGCGGCUUUCUGGACAGUAACUGACGCUGAGGCGCGAAAGCGUGGGUAGCGAAC
rnacentral:rRNA from 1 species